rnacentral:rRNA from 1 species
CCUACGGGAGGCAGCAGUGAGGAAUAUUGGUCAAUGGGCGGGAGCCUGAACCAGCCAAGUCGCGUGAGGGAAGACGGUCCUAUGGAUUGUAAACCUCUUUAGGCGGGGAGCAAUGCCGGGCACGUGUGCCCGGAUGGAGAGUACCCGCAGAAUAAGCAUCGGCUAACUCCGUGCCAGCAGCCGCGGUAAUACGGAGGAUGCGAGCGUUACCCGGAUUUAUUGGGUGUAAAGGGAGCGUAGACGGUGCGCCAAGGGUGGAGUGAAAUGUCGCAGCUUAACUGCGGAACUGCGUUGGAAACUGGCGAACUAGAGUGCGGGAGGGGUAAGCGGAAGUCGUGGUGUAGCGGUGAAAUGCGUAGAUAUUAGGAGGAACACCGGUGGCGAAGGCGGCUUACUGGACCGUAACUGACGCUGAGGCUCGAAAGCGUGGGGAGCAAACAGGAUUAGAUACCCCAGUAGUC